AUCUAGAUAUAUAUAGGUUGGCUAAAAGUCACCCGACAGUAAAUCAAAAUUCUAUAAAUACUAUCUGUAAUUCUGUACUGGCUCAAAUGGAAAAAUGUAUCACUGAAGAAGGUCUUCAGUUUGAACAAUUUUCAUGAUGUUUCAUAUUUAGAUGCUUUUAUUAAAUUCAUUCAGUUGUUAAACACAAAUAAAUCUUAGAAUUAAAUGGUUUUGAUUUACUGUCAGG